rfam:Dipodomys ordii contig_95266, whole genome shotgun sequence.
GGGAAGGUGGCUCAGUGGUAGAGCGCUUGCCUUGCAUGCAAUGAGGCCCUGGGUUCAAUUCCCCAGCAUUACAU